rnacentral:rRNA from 1 species
GAUGAACGCUGGCGGCGUGCCUAAUACAUGCAAGUCGAGCGAAUGGAUUAAGAGCUUGCUCUUAUGAAGUUAGCGGCGGACGGGUGAGUAACACGUGGGUAACCUGCCCAUAAGACUGGGAUAACUCCGGGAAACCGGGGCUAAUACCGGAUAAUAUUUUGAACUGCAUGGUUCAAAAUUGAAAGGCGGCUUCGGCUGUCACUUAUGGAUGGACCCGCGUCGCAUUAGCUAGUCGGGGAGGUAACGGCUCACCAAGGCAACGAUGCGUAGCCGACCGGGGAGGGUGAUCGGCCACACGGGGACUGAGACACGGCCCAGACUCCUACGGGAGGCAGCAGUCGGGAAUCUUCCGCAAUGGACGAAAGUCUGACGGAGCAACGCCGCGUGAGUGAUGAAGGCUUUCGGGUCGUAAAACUCUGUUGUUAGGGAAGAACAAGUGCUAGUUGAAUAAGCUGGCACCUUGACGGUACCUAACCAGAAAGCCACGGCUAACUACGUGCCAGCAGCCGCGGUAA